AUAAUAAUAUAUGUUCAGCCCAAAAAAAAAAAAAAAACUAUAUAAUAAUAUAUAUCAAAAUAAAUACAUAUCACAUGUUUUCUUCUGGACAUUUUCGUAAUUACAUUAGAACACUGAGGUUUUCUUUUUUUUUUUCUUUCCUUUCAAUAUUCUUUUCUUCCAAGAAGGUAAAAAAAAAAAAUAAAGUGUUGAUGAUUAGAAAAAUGUUAGUAUAAAAACUUGGAAACUCAUGGAGUUGUUAAAAGGGUUUUGUUUGUUGUGCUAAAGAAACAAUGACUUUCCUUGAUAUUAAUAAAUAAUCAUUUUAUCCCUGUUUACAUGAAUACCAUUAAAAAAAAAAAAAAAGGUAAAUAAAUAAUAAAUCAUAAUUAACAUAAAGAGCAUUCAUAUUUUUCUUGUUUGUUUUGCUUAUAAGCAAGCUAGUAGGUUUAAAGAUUUCUUUACUUGAUGGGUUUACCAGAUAGGUAUUGAACAACACCCUAAAAUCCCAAUUCUCUUUCAGCAACCCAAAAAAAAAAAAAUCCUAAAAUGUUAAUUCUCAUGAUCAAAUUGGGCUAAAAUUUUGACCGCUUAAUUUUGGGAUCUUUUAUUUUAAAUCGCAAGCUUUAUGAAGCAAUGCUAAUCCAACAUUAUGCCUUUUUGUUCUUGCAGGACGGUUUCGUGUAAAUUUACUAUUUCCUAGGAUAAUGACCUCAAAUUUUAAUCCCUAAACUCCAAUAUCACAAAAAUAAAUGCAGAUAACCUUUGUGUCGCUCUGAGUUGAGAGAGGUAGGACACCUUCUGGGCUAAACUGUUUACAUUUUAUGGGCUUGAAUCCUUCUGGGCUAAACUGUUUAUUUUUCAAUGGGCUUACAUCACACUUGGGCCUUGAGUAAGCUUUCUUUUGGUGGAGUUACACACUUGGGCCUUGAGUAUGCUUGCUUUUUUACAGUGCACUUUUAUGGGCCCAAGCUUAUCUCACAGGCAGCUUUCCUAGUUGGUGAGGGAAGCUUCUUCAUUCCUAUAGAAAAAAAUAAAAAUAAAUUAAAGCCAUUAAAUUGCUUGUGUGUUUAUUAUUAUUAUUAUUUAAUUUUAAAGCAAGGAACAAUCUAACCCAAAAUCAUAGUAUAUAAAAACAUUAAAGACAUUAGAUUCAGUUGAUUUUUAUUUUAUUUUUAAUGAAAAAUGAUUCAGGUUUUUGUUGAAGCAUCGUUCAUUUUUCCAUUAAAAAUAACAAAAAAUCCGAAUCUAAUGGUUUUAAUUUUUUAUACUUUGAUUUUGAGUUAGAUUAUUCCUAGCUUUAAAUUUUUAUUUUUUUUUAAAUAUAUAUAUGUAUAUAUAUAUAUAUAAAUGCAAAAGUAUAAGGACUUCGAAGAAACACUAGGAAUUCAGGAUACAUGUGGUUACAAGUGAUUACAAAUUUGCAGCAUAAUUAAUCAGAAAUUAAUAUGAAAAGAAGGACAGCAAUUCCAAAAUGAAGGAUCAGUUGUUAGUAUUUAUUUCUAGAGAUGUCCAUGAAUUGUAGGUAUAUAGUCAAAACAUUCAGUCAAAACCUACCAAAAAACAAUAAAAAAAAAAAAAAAAAAACCAACAUAUAUAAUAUCUAUGGGUUUGACUUGCAGAUGAAGCAAAUGUACAAUUAACCAUUAGUUGAAUCACCAAGUAAUGCAUAUGCAGCAUCAUUUAAUUCAAGGACUUUCCUCGCUCUCUUCUCCACAAAGUCCAACAGAAAGAAGGAUUUCCAUCUAACAUAUCAGAGAGAAAAUAAAAUACAGAACACAAGGAGAAAGAAAACCACAGAGAGUUAACAGAGAAACAAGAUGCCGAAUCCUCCACCAAAGGAGCACCCGCACCACCCGCAUCACCCGCCGGGCCAUGCAGAGCCGCCGCCACCGGGUCCUCGACAUCCUGAACCUCAGCCUCCUCCUCCAAAAGCUGAUCCUCCUCCUCCAGGUCACCAUGCACCUCCACCUCAUGAACCACACAAGCCACAUGAUCCUCCUCACCACCACCACCCAUGAAUCUAAAUAUUGCUUUCACACAUAUGUGUAUAUAUUUAUACAUAUAUGUGUGUAAUAAGUACCUUUGUGUGUUGUACUAGCUAGCGAGAAUAUAUAUAUCUAUAUGGCUUGUCUUUGUAUCGCUGUACUAUUUGUCCUUAAUUAAUAUUAGUUUGGAUGCAUAAAUAAACAUACAUAUGUAUGCAUAAUUACCAACUUGCUAAGGUAAUAUAUGUAUAAUGAGCAGCAUGUUAUCAUAUGCAUAAAGUAUCUUUGAUUUGGCUUAGUCAUUAAAGUAUGCAAAUUUUGCAGCUGUUGUUGAUAAAUUUUGCAGCUAUUGUUGAUUUUUUUUUUUUUUUUUUUUUAAACCUUAACUGACCCCUCUAUAUGUUUAUUUUUUGUUCUAAAAUUUGUACAUAUACAUCUAAAGUCUGAAUCCUAGAGGAAAUUAAUGACUAUCCAAAUUAUGAAAAUUUAGUAGGUCUAUAAUCAGUUAUCUUGCUAUAUAUAUAUAUAUAUAUAUAUAUAUAUAUGUUGCCCCCCUCAUAAUUUUAAAAUUUUAAUUGUAUUGUGAAACUAAUUUCUAACUUUAUUAAUUUUAUAUAUGAAUUUCACUAUAAUUGGACGACAAUGAAAUAGAAAAAUUAGGAUUAUAUUAAAACUGUAAACAAUUAAAUAUAUAUCAAACAUAGCAUUGUAAAUUUAAAAUCUACAUAUAUGCAUAUAUUAUAUUUUGAUUAUAAUAUACUAAUCUUUUAAAUGCAAUCCUUGAAUUAAUAUAAAAAAUUUUAACCUCUAAAAUAGAUAACAAAAUGACAAGAGCAAUGCCUAUAGACACACUGCUCAUAUACGUUUUAACAUUUCUCUCUCAAGUUAUCACCAAACAAGUAUUAUAGAUGCUUAAAAAUCAUAAUCUCUAUUAUAUGUUUCGUAUUAGUUUUACUAAUGACUUAUUCCUUAGUUUAUAAUUAAUCAAAUAAUAAUAAUAAUAAUUAAUAUAUAAUGAAUAUAAGAACAAUAAUAAUAAUAAUAAUAAUAAUAAUAAUAAUAAUAAUAUAGAAAAUAAACUAAUCGGAUUUUUAGAGAGAACAUGUUCUUAAAUUCAAUGAAUUAAUUAAAAUAUUACAGAAAAUAUAUGACUAAAGAUUUUAUUUGAAAAUGUCAAUACAUAAACCAGUUAUACAAAUAAAACAAACCUUAUAAAUAAAUUACACUAUUAUAGUUAGAUCAUACAAAAUAUCUAAUAAAAAUUUUAUAUAUUAUCCAUGGAAACUUUAGCCUCCAACAUUAAUUCUGAUGGUGAAGUGAUGGGUUCGAUACUUUAACAACUUCGAACCCAUUUUAGAUCUUGCACUGGAAAUUUAAUUGGAUCAUUCAGACUUUAAUUUAUACUUUUUCCUCUUCUUUUCAUUUUGAAAACGAGGAAGAAGGAAUCAUUUUCACAAAAAUCUAUAUCACUUGACUUUUAUUUUUAUUUUUUUUAAAAAGGUUAAAAAUAUAUAAUUGUCAUUAAAAAAAAAUAUAUAUAUAUAUAUAUAUAUAUAUCACUUUUUCUUUUUCGUUUUUCAGUUCUUUCUAUCCAAACAAAAAAAUUGUGGAAGCACUUUUAAUUUCAACUUUUUUCUGCAGCACCUUUAACAGCCUCAAAUGCACCGACAGCCACACCUAGUCAUCAUCUUGAUCCAUCUCAAAUGAAUUUGACACAAUGACAUACUUGACAGGACCAUUUACAGAUGUAGACCCAUCGGCAGAGCUAGAACCAUCGACAUGUGGAAAACGAGAUGAUCCGAGAAACUGUCCAUAACAAAGAAAAGCAUAGCCACAUACACAAAAAUCCUUGUAUAAAACAAACAACUUUAGAUAUAUUCAGAUAUAUAUAUAUUUAUAUAUAUAUAUAUAUAUUGGGAAAAGAGUGGAAAUUAUAGCAUUAUCCUUUUAGCUACGCUAUAAAUUCGGUGGUUUUGCUAAACAUCUGGUGUAGACCAAAAACCGAGUAGGAAAAUAAGAGAGAAAAGUAAGGGGAAGCAAAAUGCAUCAUCCACCAGGACCAGGAGGACCUCCACCACCCCAUGACCCUCCCCCUCCUCAUGGACCUCCUCACCAUGGACCUCCUCACCAUGGACCUCCACCUCCACAAGCACCACCGCCGGGGCCACCUCAUCACGGCCAUCCUCCAGGUCCUGGGGAUCCUCCUACUGGUCCCGGGGGACCUCCUCCUGGACCUCAAGGUGGUCCGGGAGGUCCAGGAGGUCCAGGUCCUCAUCAUCAUGGUCCGGGGCAUCGGUGCUAAUCGCCACAAGUUACAUGUUUAUGGAUACUAGUUUGUCUGAAGUUUGCUAAUAUAGAUUAAUUUGGUGUUAUUAAUAUAAGCUACUUUGCUGCUGGGUUAUGGCAAACUCUGUAUGCGGUGCACUUCUUGUAUAAUUUGUGCAUUUAUUUGGUGGAUAUGACUAUUUGGGAGUUUAUCCAUGUUAAUGUAUGCUAUCUAUCCUAAUCCUAAUAUAUUGAUAAAUAUUAAGAGCCA